UCACUAGUGUGAAUUUUUCCAGAAAACGCUCAGUGGAGAAUGUUACUUUUGCUUAAAAACGUGAUAUUGAACAUUAAAUUUCAAUAGGAUAUUGUGAGUUUAGACAGUUACAACCUUAAGAAACUGGCUCAUCAGUGAGAGGAAUAAUAAUAUGCUAAUAACUCACUUUUCAGCAAAAGUGGAGAAUAUGCCUUUUGCAGUUUAGGCCCUUCCUUUCCAGUGUUGUUUACAAGAUCUCUGUAAUGGUCUUGUUGAUUACAUAAAACAACUAAUUUUUAUUUAAACAAUGUCUAUUUUAAAUCACUGGUCUAUACUGAUCAUCGAAAGACCUUGACCCAAAUAUAAAACAAUAAUACUGGUCAAUUUGAUGGAAAAAGUUGAACUAAACCUCUGAGUCCCACUAGCGCACUGCAUUGACAACAAUGGACACCAUCUGCUUGGCGUUAUAUUUAAAACUAAGUAAAAGUAAAUAUUAACUUGUGUAUUUUAUUAUAUAAAAAGAAUGAAAUGUAUUUCUUCAUUACUUUCUUUUUAAUUUAAUUUCUAAAUAACCUCUGCCCCACCCUGUAUAAUUGUUGUAUAUAGUAAUAAGUUGUAUUUGACAUAUUAAAAUUACUUCAACUAAUUAGGUCUGAGUGACAACGCUUAUGUGAAGCAGUUGUCAUAUUAUCAAGAGUAUAACAUUGAUUACCUCAUAAGUUUAAAAGUAAAUUGUUGUGAGAUUUUUCUAAAUUGCCUACCAUAUUGCAAUUUUUGGAAAAAUAAGACUAAUAUAAGACCAUUACUACUACUUUAAUUAUUAAUGUUUUGUUAUCGAAGAUUUAAUUAAUCUUCAGCUUUUAGAAAUUGUAAUUCAACCACCCCUAAGUGACAGCGCUGUUUUGAAACUGUUUUUCGUUAUCUGAAUUAUUUUAUUACCUUAUAAUUUUGUCCCAGUAUUGGCAUUUUGGCACAAAAUUAAUAUACAGCUACUACUUCCUGAAUUAUGUUGUAUUGUUGAAGAAUAAAUACUAUUUCAACUCAUAGAAAUAAUAAUUCAACUACUUCUAAGUGAUAACACUGUUGUAAAAUUGUUGUCUAUUAUGUGAAAUCAACUACUUCUAAGUGAUAAUACUGCUGUGUAAUUGUUGUCUAUUAUAUGAAAUAAUUUAAUUACCAUACAAACUUUAGAAGUAAUGUUUUGUAAAAUUUGAACUAAUUUGGCCACUGUGCAGGCAUUUUUUGCAAAAUCAUUUUAUGUAGAAAUACUAUCUGUUAUACUAGAUCAUUGUAUGAUAGAUGAUCACAUAAUAUUUUAGCUCAAAUGAACUUUUCAAAAACUACAUUUAAGUAACGAAGCUCUUGUGAAGCAGUUGUCUUGUAAUGUGAGAUAAUUUUGAUUACCUCAUGUGUGGUUUCUAUAUCUAACACAUUGUAAAAUUUGUACUAAACUGCCUACUGUGUUGGCACCUUUAGCAAAAACAUGUAACGUGGAAUUACCAUUACUGGUACCUCUAUUAGUAGAACAUUCAUUCUAUAAUUGAACAACACGUAAUUAAACCUGAAUAAACCUUUCAUGAACUAUGUUUGAGUGACAAAGCUCUUGUGAGGCAGUUGUCAUGUAAUGUUGUGAGGCUAAUUUGAUUACAUCAUGAGUGAGUUCUAGAUCUAAUAAAGUGUUAUAUCUCUGCUAAA